AGCAGUCUCCUGUUUCUCCUUCUACCUUCUCCAUUUUUCUAGUCCCUGCAGGUAGGAUCCUGGGGGUUAACUCCCUUUUCACCAAGCUCCCGAGGGCCCUUGAUCCCUCAGCCUCUUACCUCAGCGGCUUUAGCACUUUCCCCUACAGCCCCGCCCCCAGGACCAGCCCGAGUGGCCGCGCUCACCACGACGAGGACGGCGGCGUGCUCGUGCCCCCACAGAGGGGGCCGGCGGCGAAGGCGGCGUGCGCGCGCCCGUGCUGUGGUGGGCGUGGCCGGGGCGGAGACGCGAGGAGGGGAGCAGAGAACGCGCUCGCGGAGAGGGAUUCCGGGUCCUUCGCUUCCUCGCCCUACCUUGGUUUACCUGCUGCUGCCUAGUCCUCUUCUCCUUCUCUGAUAAUUCGGGGCCUCGGGUUCCCUCACGAUAUUGCAGAAAGACACAGCUUUCCUCUUCCUCUACAAACCACCUCGAAGCAGGGACGUAAUUGGAAUAUCAUUUGGAGAAAGUGUCAUGGAAGUUCUGCGUCCACAGCUUAUAAGAAUUGAUGGCCGGAAUUACAGGAAGAAUCCAGUCCAAGAACAGACUUAUCAACAUGAAGAAGAUGAAGAGGACUUCUAUCAAGGCUGGAGUGCAGUGGCGUGAUCUGGGCUCUCUGCAACGCUCCAUGGAGUGUGCUGAUGAGCCCUGUGAUGCCUAUGAGGUGGAGCAGACCCCACAAGGAUUCCGGUCUACUGUGAAGGCCCCCAGCUUGCUCUAUAAGCAUAUAGUUGGAAAGAGAGGGGACACUAGGAAGAAAAUAGAAAUGGAGACCAAAACUUCUAUUAGCAUUCCUAAACCUGGAC
rnacentral:sRNA from 1 species